GUUCCUGUAGUUAAAGUUUGUUAACAGUGGCUUUUCAAGCCGCAGGUCCUGGAGAAAGGCCAGGCGGGAACU
rnacentral:tRNA from 1 species